UGAGUGUGUGUUCAGAAGGCAGACAGAGAGAGGGCGAGAGAGAGAAAUAGAGAAGGAAGAGUGAGAGGAGAGGGAUAAAGGGAAACACAAAUCAUUAUUCACAGCCCUGCAUGCUACCAUGCUCUGAUCUGUGUGGAGGACAGAUAGGUGUCGAUUUUACUGCCAUCUGUAAUAAACUCUUUAAUACACAGUAUUACGUAUGAAGUGUAAUGAAAAGUCACCCAGAAGAUUUGGGUUAAUCUAAUGCACUCUAUUUAACUGUGUUGUAGGGCCACAACAAUCAAAAUGGCAGCUGAGACACAUGCUCUUUUGUUCUGUAGACAAAAGAGAGCAAUUGAAUUCAGUUUCCCAGGAUCUUUCACGUUUCACACCUGUGUGUGAAGCCCGCCCAUGGACCCAGUUUCAACUACCAUUGGUCGAGUGUGGCCUACAACCGAUGACGUUAACUUGUCAUUAAAGCCGGCGGACAGAUUCAAGCCGGUCUCUCUUUGUGAUCCCCUGGCUUGCUGUUAAGAGACCUCUAUUAUUGCACAUAUACUGAAGGAGUUUUCCCUAAUUUUUGGACAAAGAACAGAGACUCCAUUUGUCUGAUCUCACCAUUUUGCCACGGUAGAGUAAGAUUAACUUAGCUUUGUUUCCAGUACUCAAGUAAACACUAUUUUUGAUUUUUGAUUUUUUUUUCACUGCAAGACAACAGUGGAUUUUCUUAAGAAGAACGGAAAUGCAACCAGCUUCCCUUUUCCUCGUUUUCUUCAACGUCAACAACCUGCUGCUUUCCCUUCCACUGCUGCACGUGAGGAAUAAAGCAUAAAUGCGUCUUUUCGCUGACGAGCAUAAGACACAGGACGAGCCCACGCUGCCAUUCUGCUGGACAAAACUACUGUGAAUCACACAUGGGAGUGAUUUCCUCAAGUAAUCCAUCCCCGCGGUAGUGAAGAGAGGUUGCGCCGGGGCUUUCAUCUUGGUGGACGAUGUGAUGAACGGACUCAACAACGAGCAGAUACAGUGCACAAAGCCAUCUCCAUAAAGAAAAGGUUUUCCAGUUUGCUGAGGAAGAACUUGACUGGCCAGCAGAGAGACCUGACCUCAACCUCAUCCAAGACCUUUCAGACCCUGCUCUUCUUCUCCUGCCCACCAGUGUUCCUACUUUUGCCAGUCACCUGAGCUCGCACCUGCCUGCAGACAUGAUCCUCAAUACCCCAUUAUCCAAAGAGUUUAUACUAUAGACUUGCACAGUGGCCAGUCAUUUGCCACAGUGUGUAUCAUGUCUCCUAGUCAUAGCGUUGCAGUCCUUUUGUUUUGCCUGAAUCUGCCUGCCUGGAAUUGUGAUUUUGAACUAUGCUAGUUUUUUUUAGCUUUUUCCUGCCUGCCUUAAUCAUUUAUCUGUUUAACCUUUUGGUGUCCUGUGUUAUGCCUGCUGACAUUAAACUCUGUUUUUAAUGCUCCUGCUUUUUGAGUCUGUGAGUCUGCUUUUGGGUCAAAAGCUGUAUUUCUCAGUUUCCUAUUCUCUUACUGUCACUAUUGCUAGAAAGUACUGCUAACGUUUGGUUGCAUUCUUCAUAUAACGACUGCGAUUACUAUUGUUUCAAGUACUGAUGGAGCCGUUUAACUAUUACUAAAACCUCCAUAUGUCUUCCUGCUAUCCUCUUGCCCUUUUCCGACCACCUGUCAUUUGCAUGUUCCACUUUUAUCUCAAUUUCCUUCCGUUUUACUAACCCUUUUACAUUCUGUACAUUUGUGUAUCUUACUUUUCCUUCCUUCUUUCUAUCUCCUCUUUUCUUUAUCUGUCAUUUUCAAUUCAAUUUUAUUUAUAUAGCACCGAAGUUAUCUCACUGCACUUUUCCUAUAGAGCAGGUCUAGACCGUACUCUUUUUAUUAUUUACAGAGACCCAACAAUUUAACUUCUCCCCCAGUUCUCUGUGCUUUUCCUGUUUACUUGUCUUUUGCUAUUGUUUCUCCCUGCCUUUCCUUCACUCUUUAUGUCCUUCCUUCCUCUCUCCAUCUACCCCUCAUCAUUUUGUCAUUUUAUAUCCUUUCUGCUCCCUAUAGAAAACCCACUGAUGAUACAGAUUUAGUGCAUCAAAUUUGUUUACAAUGUAUGCCAUGUACCAGGCAGGACCAACCUGACCUGAAACCAAGUUUUUCUCAAACCAAACUGACAAUUAAAUUCCAGUUGUUCCAGAGGAUAGUCUUCUUUUCUACUUUUAAGUAGUGAUGUGAAAGUGAGGAGGAAAAAAAAAGUUAUGACAAGUUGGUGUAAAUAUUGAUACCAAGAUAUCUAAUAUAGCUGGUUGUUAUUGUUCAGAUGGAAUAUUUUCUCUUUUUCAAUUACAAAGUAAAGAUACUUUUUAAAAAUUUUCUUAAAAUUGACAAAUAUUUAAACUUUAUAAAAUAGAAAAAAUACACAUAUCUACCAGGUUUAAUCUUAACCACCAAUAAUGUAUUUCUCUGCUAUACUUGAGAAAUAGAAAACAAUGUCUGUUCAUAUAAGUUGUUGUUGACCCACCUCUGACAGCAUCACAUUUAGGAUGUAUAUGAUCCUGUCAGAAGACUUAAGCAGAGAGGGUGUCACAGCUGUCGAGGAAGUCUGACAGGUAUUUCAGGAUUCUGACCAGCUGGGUGUCAUCAACAAAGAUGAUUGGGGCUCACAGUUCCUCAAAAGUAAAGUGGGGCUGCUUAAAUCUCCCUUUUUUGCAUUUUCACAAAUAGAAUAAAGGCUUCACAAAUCUGAAACUGUGAAGAUAAAGAAGUUAAAGAGUCUCUGACUUCUCUGGGAUAAUCUAGUCCAGAUUUUCCAAGUGUAGGUAAAGUGGUUUUUGAUCUGGACCUGGUCCAAUGUGGUCUAGGUGUGAUAAAAGCAGUGAAAUCGCAGUUUUUUGCAUUUUCACAAAUACAAUAAAGGUUUUACAAAUUUGAAAGUGGGUUUCAGACAGUGUUAAGGCUGUACCAAAAAUGUCAACACGCACAGGGGUACAAAAAACGGAAGAUUGGUCGCUCAGCAAUGUAAGUUAAGUUUCCCUUAACUAAAAUUUUUCACACCAGAUCCAGUUAUUGUCAACCAAUCAGGUGCCACCAGUAACAGCCGAACAUAUCACACACAUACCGCCAUCGACAGUGCAGGCACCAGACAAUUAUCAGACAUACUUUAAUAUUAUAUUCCAUUUCUGCCAAUAGCUCCUCUUAAAUGUUACACAAAUGUUAAAUGGACCUUCUUCUUAGAAAUUCUUAGUCAUCAUAGGCUAGAUGCAUACAAGGUAAGGAUGCACGAUAUUGGAAAAAAUUACAUUGCGAUAUCUUUCGGCGAUAUACAGUGCAUCCGGAAAGUAUUCACAGCGCUCCACUUUUUCCACAUUUUGUUAUGUUAUAGCCUUAUUCCAAAAUGGAUUAAAUUCAUCAUUUUCCAAACAGUACCCUAUAAUGACAACGUGGAAGAAGUUUGUUUGAAAUCUCUGCAAAUUUAUUACCAAUAAAAAACGAAAAAUAUCACAUGUACAUAAGUAUUCACAGCGUUUGCAAUGACACUCAAAGUUGAGCUCAGGUGCACAGACCAAGCCAUGAAGUCCAAGGAAUUGUCUGUAGACCUCUGAGACAGGACUGUAUCGAGGCACAGAUCUGGGGAAGGGUACAGAAACAUUUCUGCAGCAUUGAAGUUCUCAAUGAGCACAGUGGCUUCCAUCCGUAAAUGGAAGAAGUUUGGAACCACCAGGACUCGUCGUAGAGCUGGCUGCCCAGCCAAACUGAGCGAUCGGGGGAGAAGGGCCUUAGUCAGGGAGUUGACCAAGAACCCGAUGGUCACUCAGAGCUCCAGCGUUUCUCUGCUGUGAAACUGGAUGAAUGGUAAGAAGUGACAAUGUUUAUCUGUGUGCAGUAAUGUUGCUAGGUACACGUCCUGCGUCUCUGACACAUUCAAAUCCGAAAGGUAAACUCACUAUUGAUGUGUCCAGAGGACGCACACUAUUUUUUCCCUGAUCAUGCUACAUUGUGACCAAAAAAAUCUGUGUUGAAAUCAUAGCAAUAAACAAAAGAAACCUCGCUUUUAGAACACAAGUUUUACCCGGAACGUUUUGGCAUUGUAUCAGUUGUAGUCAACUUAGCCAAGUCAAGCUCAUGUAGUAUCGCUGCUCAACUGUAUGGGAGCAUUACAUUUUUCCGGCUAGUUACAGUGAACAUGGGCACAGAUUAGUGUCAAACUGUAUGCCGACAUUGUUCAACUUAAGUCGGGUUUGUCUGUAGAAACACUUCAAUCACGUCAUUUACGACGGCGUCGAAUGUGUCAAAUAGUGUAACGAGACAAACCAGACUGGAAGGCGAGUCCUUCUCCCCACAUGCUUGAGCUCUACAAUGUGCCUUCACGUGUGCAUGUUAAUCAGUCCGUUGUGCAGCUCUUUAUAAACGAACACAAGGUCAGGACUUAUCAACAGGUCAGAGUCUUAUGAUCGUGCAUGACAUAUAUUUGUGUUAUUUAUUUUUUUCUUAUUAACAAUAUGCCAGUAUUUGAGUGCCUUAACUGUUACAGUAAGAAUUACGGCCAAUGAGCCACUGUUGAAUGUUUACAUUUUUUCAAAAUAAAUGGCACAAAGUUAUUUAAAACCCUAAAACCGAGGUACAUAUCGAACUGUGAAUUUUGUGUACUGUUACACACCUAACAUGAACAUAACCAUAUAACAUCAAACACGAGCUUAAUUUAAUUUGUCAAAAAACACACAUUUUAUCACUGUGUGUAUUUACGAUUAUUUACAGUAUGCGUACCUGUGUUUACAGGGACUGUCCAAUUUAUGUAUUUUUAAAGCCUUGACAUUUUUAGCCACACUAAAACAUCGGCAUCACAGAGCAGCAGCUUUUAUUAUUGCAGCAUUGAAAGUAAAGUCAAGAAGGUGCUUUACAGAAAAGUGUUUAUUAUAAAAUGAAAAGAAAACACUUCACAAAAAUGUAGCAGCAAACCGUACUGUACAUAUUCAGAAAUUCAGUAGGCCUGUAGCCUAACGAAUAAGUCAAACUGACGCAUUGUUCACAGCACCUGAUGAUUAUGAUGGUGAUGAAACGGAUGCCAUGGAUGCUGGUGUUCAGGUGAGUCUGGGGGUUAAUUUUAUGUAUAUGAGCCACCAACUUGAAUACGUUGAUUGAAUGUUCACAUUUAGACCAUUUUUCACUGGGAUUUGCAAUAGUCAAAUUUUUAUCCUCUACAAGGUGCAAACAAUAGCUUAUUGCCACUUUGGAGCCUAACAAAGAAACCACAUCUAAAUUUCACAGUUGAAAGCCCGUAUAAAUAUAAAAACAAGCCUCACGCAGGACUCAAACCCCAGUCUCCUGAAUGAAGGUCCUGUGUUUAACCCACUCAUCCACAUCUUCCUGUAGAUUUAGACAUUUUACCUUCACACUAAUCAAUAUCGUCAAUGUCUGUCAACCCAAUACUGAACAAAUUAUCUAAAUGAUAAAACAAAUUUGUGUUUUGACACGUUGAUGUUGUAACCAUAUUUUAGCUGGUUGAAAAGAGGGCAAAAAGAGGUCUUAGACAUUCAGACCAAAUAUCACCCAGUUUUCACCUAGAAAUCAAUGUUGAAAUCUCAGUUGGUGCUUACUGGGAUAAUGACACUUCAAAUCAAAGUUUGAUAGGAAUCAAAUGGUUUUAUCAAUGGUAAACAGUAAAUGGACUGAUACUUAUAUAGCGCCUUUCUAGUCUUUUCCGACUACUCAAAGCACUUUAACUACAUAUCACAUUCACACAUACACUGAUGUAUCAGUUUAAAGAAAGUAAAUCAUUCACACACACACCUCAGGAGAAAUUUGGGGUUCAGUGUCGUGUCAGUUGCCCAAGGACACUUCGACAUGUGGGCUGAGGGAAGCCGGGAUGGAACCGCCAACCUUCCGAUUGGAGGACGACCCGCUCUACCACUAAGCCACAGUCGCCCCCGCACAUACUUUAUUUGAUCGACUUUGACAGAAUGAAUUAGACACCCCAGAUUAAUUUUUCCGUAUUUAAAAACCUCAUUUUAGUAUAACUGAAAAUCCUAUGCUUAAAAACACCUUGACAAAGAACACCAAAGAGUUCGCCCUAAAUAAUAUUGAGAGAUUAAUCGAGGAAACCUUGAAAAUUUCAGACCAAUAUCUUCUUGUUGGAACUCCCUGAGUUUUUAUCCAGUCAUUAUUUUAAAUUAUGAUAGAAUUGUUCUUUGUGGUGAUUUUAAUUUUCAUUUUGAUGACUCUUCUAAAGCCCUUGCUGCUGAUUUUUUAAAUAUCUUUAACUCUUUUAACUUUCAACAACAUGUGUCUGGCCAAACUCAUUCCCGUGGCCACACUUUAGACCUAGUCUUUAGUCUGGGCCUGAAAGCUCCAUCUGUGGAAAUCAGGGACAUGUUUGUAUUUGAUCACCUAUACAUUGUUUUUAACUGUGAAUUACAGGCUGCUAGUACUGUCUUAUCCCGCUCUAAGUACACCCUCGUCCUUAAUGAGCAUAGUGCCUCAAAAUUCUGUACACUGUUCAAUUCUCCCAGAAAUGUGUUUCCCGAUUCUUCCAACACCAACGAUUUGGUUGAUUCUUUUAAUUACCUGUGUUCUUCAACCUUAGAUCUCAUAGCUCCUCUGAAAAAUAGACCAAAGUCAAAGACUAGAAAACAGCCAUGGUUGAAUGACAGUAUUCAAAGCUGUAAAAGGAAAUGCAGAAGAACAGAACGCAGAUGGAAGAAAUCAGGUCUCCAGGUCCACUUUGUCGGUAUGAAAGAAUUAUUACUCCUUUAUAAUAAGAUGGUGAAGGAUGCAAGAACAUGUAAUUUCUCUGCACUUAUUUCUGCCCAUCAGCACAACCCCAGAUUCCUAUUUAAGACUGUGGAUCAGUUAGUUAACCCUGCCUCUCCUUGUACCACUGCUGAUUGUGAUGCUGAUUAUGAAAAGUUUCUUUUGCACUUUGCUGGAAAAGUGGAGUUAAUAAGAUCUGGUAUCACCCCAAAUCCUGCCUUUUUAGAUGUGGAUCACCCGCUCAGGGAUUCUUUGAGCAAUUUUUCUGCUGUUACUCUGCCUGAACUCACAGAAAUCAUGUCUCUUAUGAGAGUAUCCUCCAGCCCUCUGGACAAAAUCCCAGCUAGGUUUUUAUUGGAAGUUAUGGAUUGUAUUGCCAAUACUGUUCUCCUUAUACAUGCUUCCCUUGGGUGAUGUCAUCCACAGACAUGGUAUUUCGUGGUAUUUUAUUUCUUUCUUUGUGAAGCACUUUGUACUUUGUUUUGAUAAGUGCUCUGUAAAUAAAUUUGUAUUAUUAUUUUUAUUAUUAUUAUCAUCAUCAUCAUCAUCAUCAUCAAGGAAACUACUACUGAGUAUAAUAAAACAUUUAUGAAACGUUCAAAAACUAUAGGCUUCACAGGGCUCGACAGUAACGGUUGCCAUUGGCAAUCAUUUUGAGAAAUUGGCAGUGUUUACAACAACACUUCAACGAGACACAGCUGCACCUUUUUAAGACACCACACACAGGGAAGUCAGACCGUCCGAGAGCGUCCAUUGCUAGCCUGCGAACGCCUGGCAGCGCAUCAAAAAAGUCCACCGUUUGUUAGGCUGCCUGUCAGUCAGCCUACAGUCCGGAUCCGUCUACUCUUCACCAACCACGCCAUUUACCCACUAACCAUCCCUUCAUCAUCUGUGCCGUCCAUUCCCGGGACCCUGCCACCCCGUCUGGAGUAGAGUACAGGAGGUAACGCCGGACUUUCUGGGGCAAAUUACAAAGCUGCAACUCUAAAAAGAGGUUUCACUUGGUCUAAAUUCUUGGAACUCCAAUUCUUCUGAGUAAUUGUGGAAACCAAGAAAAACAGAUAGUCUAACAAUGGCAUAGCCGUCAGUGCUGGGAUAAAAAAGUUUAAAUCGAAUUGAAUCGUCACCUUGAAAUUUAAAGUCAAAUCAAAUCAUGGAUUUGGAGAAUCGUGACACCCCUACUUUUUAAAAAUAAAUAAUUUUCUUCAUAUUUGUUGCAAUAGUGAUAUUUAUAUAAUACUGUUACAUUCUGAACCAAUGUCCAAUGCUCCUAAUGAUACCUUCCACAUCUUCUAGUGCACAACACCAGAGUUUGCAUUAGUAAGGAAAAUAGUAAGUUACUGGAUAUAACUCCAGUUCUGAGUACAUGCGUAGCCCUAUACCUGCAUGUUAUCGCAACCACAGUAAAGCACAUUAGUUUUAAUAUACUAAAACAUUUAUCAUGGUAAUGACGGUAUUGCAAAAUCCAUGUCAUAGAAGAAUGUGACACCAGUGACGGUUACAAAACCAGUAUACUGCCCACCCCAAGCCUCACAUCGUCUGUGAAAGUAACCGCGUCACAUGCAUGUUUACAGGCAGGUGAUACGCAGAUGCUGCAUGCACAGUGCUCGCUAUGUACUCUGGUGAAGGGGUGCACUUCUUGAUCAGUUUAUCAAACAACCAAAACAGGCAGCACUCAUUUUCAGGUUGUAGUAGGGGACUAGUGGGGCUUGCUUUGGUUGUUUGAUAAAUUGAUGAAGUGCACCAAUUCAAGAGAGCAAACUCAGUGUAUCCAAGAACCCUUAAAUCAGACUACAUUAUGUAAUAUCACCUUGUGAGUUUUUCUUUUGUAUCAAGCAGCAAAAAAGUUGUAGCAUGACCUGUUUGAGUUAAUUUGCCUUACUUGACAUUGCGCAUCCUGUCUUGUGACUAUUGCACAUGCGCACAUUGCGAUGUCGAUGCUGAAACGAUAUACUAUAUCGUGCAGCCCUAAUACAAGGUGACAUUUUGUCUGAGGACAUCUCAGAUUAAUCUAAUGAUUUGCAUGCUGAUGUUUAAGAAAAAGCCCUUGACCUGUUUGACCAACAACAAAAUAGGUUUGAUGAAACACAUGUUAAUGAUCAACAUGUCCCACACAAGGUUGGGACACUCUCACAGCAGGGGCUCCACAAUCACCCUGUUGACAUGCUGAUUCUGAAAACAAGUCAUUGUCUGCAGUGUGUAGGAAAUAUAUUACUUGUAGGAUUUCUUCAUCUAAUCACUUCUGUCAAAUUGCUUGUCUAGUACUACUGUCCCUCUGCUGCUGAAUGAAGAAGCCAAGUUCACAAAGACUCUUUACUGUAUUGUAUUCGGUAUUAUGACGGUACAGAUCUGACAAUACUUUUCCUACAAUUAUAAUAACUCAUUAGCUCACUCCCCAUAAAUACACCAUCAAAACAACAGACUAAAAUGUCUUAGUUUGUCAAAAACCUACUGACAGAUUAGUCGUAGCCUUAACGUUAGAAUAUUUACAUUAUGUCAGAGGAGUGGCAUUAGGCUACAGGAAAGCACAAGGCUUUCUGUCUGUUCUGCACUUUUGUCCUGAAAACUAGCAUCCGGUUUAGGAAGAAAAUCUGACACAGUUACCAUGUUUACACUAGCUGCACAUACAGAAACAUGUUCCCAACUCACUGCUAACGUUAGUCAUCUCUGCUCCAACUUGUGCCCGGAAAGCUUCGUAUCGUAACAUGUUUUAUCAGCUUGUGAAUGACUAGUAGACCUCAAAACCAUAAGACAUUUAAAAAUGCUUUGUUUUUCUGAUCCAGUAAGUUAAGUAAUGUUACCAGCAGUGCUCUUAGCCUGUGUCGCAACAAGUCAGGGCCUUGUACUGUAACUUAAUGUAUCUUCCCCAAUGACUAACUGUAACAAAACUAACACAACAGCAGGCUGCUGACAACCUCAGUUAAAUCAGCGGAUGCACAU